rnacentral:rRNA from 1 species
ACUGGUUGAUCCUGCCAGUGAUCAUAUUCUUCGAUCAAAGAUUAAGCCAUGCACGUCUAAGAACCUUGAGUUACUUGAGAGUCUGCGUAUGGCUCAUUAUAUGGUUUAUAACUUCCCCUAGCACAUUUUCAUCGGAACUUCCGAGGUAAUUCAUGGGCUAACCCUGCACGAAAAGCCGCUUAGCAAUAGGCGGCUGCAUUUGUUAGUCUCAAACCAACAUUGUUGGAUGAAUCAUGACAAACUGCGGAUCCUUAUGUUGCAAAAGACGAAGGACGACUAGGAAAGGCUUACCACUUAUCAGUUUUCGAAGGAAGUAUAUGGAACUUUCUUGACUUUGACGAGUAACGGAAAAUUAGGGUUUGACUCCGGAGAAGGAGCCUGAGAGACGGCUACUACAUCUAAGGAAGGCAGCAGGCGCGCAAAUUCUUCAAUAGCCAAAUGGCUGAAAGAGUGACGAUCAAUAACAAUGCGCGACUUUUAAAGUUGUGCAAUUGGAAUGACAGCAAUUUAAAGAGUUCAAGGAGGAUCAAUUGGAGGGCAAGUCUGGUGCCAGCAGUUGCGGUAAUUCCAGCUCCAAUAGCGUAUAUUAAAGUUGUUGCAGUUAAAAAGUUCGUAGUUGAAUUUCUGGGCACGGCGGCGGUCCGCCUUACGGUGUGCACUUGCUUGCCCGUGCUCAAACCUUGCGGAGACGGCGUGUGGCCUUCACUGGUCGUGCGUUUGGAUCCGCAUCAAUUACUGUGAGCAAAUUAGAGUGUUUAAAGCGGGCGUUCGCUUGAAUACAUUAGCAUGGAAUAAUGAGAUAGGACUUUGGUGCUAUUUCGUUGGUUGCGUGCCAAAGUAAUGAUUAAUAGGGACAGUUGGGGGUAUUCAUAUUUGAUUGUCAGAGGUGAAAUUCUUGGAUUUAUCAAAGAUGAACAACUGCGAAAGCAUUUACCAAGGAUGUUUUCAUUAAUCAAGAUCGAAAGUCAGGGGAUCGAAGAGGAUUAGAUACCCUCGUAGUCUUGACCAUAAACUAUGCCGACUCAGGAUUGGCGGAGUUCUUCAAUGUCUCCGCCAGCACUGUAUGAUAAAUCAAAGUCUUUGGGUUCCGGGGGGAGUAUGGUCGCAAGGCUGAAACUUAAAGGAAUUGACGGAAGGGCACCACCAG